rnacentral:rRNA from 1 species
GUCCAGACUUUGAUUAUGGCUCAGGAUGAACGCUAGCUACAGGCUUAACACAUGCAAGUCGAGGGGCAGCAUUUUAGUUUGCUUGCAAACUGAAGAUGGCGACCGGCGCACGGGUGAGUAACACGUAUCCAACCUGCCGAUAACUCCGGAAUAGCCUUUCGAAAGAAAGAUUAAUACCGGAUAGCAUACGAAUAUCGCAUGAUAUUUUUAUUAAAGAAUUUCGGUUAUCGAUGGGGAUGCGUUCCAUUAGUUUGUUGGCGGGGUAACGGCCCACCAAGACUACGAUGGAUAGGGGUUCUGAGAGGAAGGUCCCCCACAUUGGAACUGAGACACGGUCCAAACUCCUACGGGAGGCAGCAGUGAGGAAUAUUGGUCAAUGGGCGAGAGCCUGAACCAGCCAAGUAGCGUGAAGGAUGAAGGCUCUAUGGGUCGUAAACUUCUUUUAUAUGGGAAUAAAGUUUUCCACGUGUGGAAUUUUGUAUGUACCAUAUGAAUAAGGAUCGGCUAACUCCGUGCCAGCAGCCGCGGUAAUACGGAGGAUCCGAGCGUUAUCCGGAUUUAUUGGGUUUAAAGGGAGCGUAGGUGGAUUGUUAAGUCAGUUGUGAAAGUUUGCGGCUCAACCGUAAAAUUGCAGUUGAAACUGGCAGUCUUGAGUACAGUAGAGGUGGGCGGAAUUCGUGGUGUAGCGGUGAAAUGCUUAGAUAUCACGAAGAACUCCGAUUGCGAAGGCAGCUCACUAGACUGUCACUGACACUGAUGCUCGAAAGUGUGGGUAUCAAACAGGAUUAGAUACCCUGGUAGUCCACACAGUAAACGAUGAAUACUCGCUGUUUGCGAUAUACAGUAAGCGGCCAAGCGAAAGCAUUAAGUAUUCCACCUGGGGAGUACGCCGGCAACGGUGCAACUCAAAUGAAUUGACGG